rnacentral:rRNA from 1 species
GCUUGCUCCUUUGACGUUAGCGGCGGACGGGUGAGUAACACGUGGAUAACCUACCUAUAAGACUGGGAUAACUUCGGGAAACCGGAGCUAAUACCGGAUAACAUAUUGAACCGCAUGGUUCAAUAGUGAAAGGCGGCUUUGCUGUCACUUAUAGAUGGAUCCGCGCCGUAUUAGCUAGUUGGUAAGGUAACGGCUUACCAAGGCAACGAUACGUAGCCGACCUGAGAGGGUGAUCGGCCACACUGGAACUGAGACACGGUCCAGACUCCUACGGGAGGCAGCAGUAGGGAAUCUUCCGCAAUGGGCGAAAGCCUGACGGAGCAACGCCGCGUGAGUGAUGAAGGUCUUCGGAUCGUAAAACUCUGUUAUCAGGGAAGAACAAAUGUGUAAGUAACUGUGCACAUCUUGACGGUACCUGAUCAGAAAGCCACGGCUAACUACGUGCCAGCAGCCGCGGUAAUACGUAGGUGGCAAGCGUUAUCCGGAAUUAUUGGGCGUAAAGCGCGCGUAGGCGGUUUUUUAAGUCUGAUGUGAAAGCCCACGGCUCAACCGUGGAGGGGGUCCAUUGGAAACUGGAAAACCUUGGAGUGCAGAAGAGGAAAGUGGAAUUCCAUGUGUAGCGGUGAAAUGCGCAGAGAUAUGGAGGAACACCAGUGGCGAAGGCGACUUUCUGGUCUGUAACUGACGCUGAUGUGCGAAAGCGUGGGGAUCAAACAGGAUUAGAUACCCUGGUAGUCCACGCCGUAAACGAUGAGUGCUAAGUGUUAGGGGGUUUCCGCCCCUUAGUGCUGCAGCUAACGCAUUAAGCACUCCGCCUGGGGAGUACGACCGCAAGGUUGAAACUCAAAGGAAUUGACGGGGACCCGCACAAGCGGUGGAGCAUGUGGUUUAAUUCGAAGCAACGCGAARAACCUUACCAAAUCUUGACAUCCUUUGACCGCUCUAGAGAUAGAGUCUUCCCCUUCGGGGGACAAAGUGACAGGUGGUGCAUGGUUGUCGUCAGCUCGUGUCGUGAGAUGUUGGGUUAAGUCCCGCAACGAGCGCAACCCUUAAGCUUAGUUGCCAUCAUUAAGUUGGGCACUCUAAGUUGACUGCCGGUGACAAACCGGAGGAAGGUGGGGAUGACGUCAAAUCAUCAUGCCCCUUAUGAUUUGGGCUACACACGUGCUACAAUGGACAAUACAAAGGGCAGCUAAACCGCGAGGUCAAGCAAAUCCCAUAAAGUUGUUCUCAGUUCGGAUUGUAGUCUGCAACUCGACUACAUGAAGCUGGAAUCGCUAGUAAUCGUAGAUCAGCAUGCUACGGUGAAUACGUUCCCGGGUCUUGUACACACCGCCCGUCACACCACGAGAGUUUGUAACACCCGAAGCCGGUGGAGUAACCA